CCCUUGAUCAAAUUUAAUGGCACAACGCGUUCGCCAGUGUGAUAGCCAUCGAGAACGGACAUUUCCUCGGUGGUCAACUCAAAAUCGAAGAUAUCGAAGUUUUCCGAGAUUCGGAGAGGAAAUGUGCUUUGUUAUGCGUUUUUUGAAAUCAAUAUACAGAUUUUUCCGACCAGACAGCCACGUCCAUUUUAGCCAGACCACUUUGCGAGUUUCGGAAGGUCGGGAACAGACCAAUAGAAACCACAUACCUAGUUAUAUUCAAGAACAAAGGCAAAAGGCUAAGGAGAGAUACGACAAACUUUGAUCCGAAAAUAUCAAGUAUAAAAAAGCAAUAUUCUUAGCAAAGAAUUUAAAAUGUAAUCUUAUAAUUGUAACCAAUAUAAUAUAAUUUUUCAGGAUUUCAAAUAGGUAAAUAAAAUAUUAAACUUAAA